CCCAAGUCCNUCUUCACCUUUGUCACAUUGGGCAAGUCACAUUCUUGCCAAUAUCAAGAAUAUGGGAGUCAUGUUUCUCNUCAUUACGCUUCAUUAGGCUCUCUCAUUGUUUGCUUUUUCUACAAAAAAAAAAAAAGGGAAAGAACAAGAAAGUAUUCUUACGGGAAAGCGUUUCGGUGCAGUGACCCAGGGGACUAUCUGGAGGAAAUUUCUUCAUUAUAAAAGGUGCGCACUGGGAUACUUCACGCUUGUGGCUGCUGAAAUGGACAGAUUUUCAACCUUGACGCUGCUGCUCCUGCUCCUCGGAACCUUUUGCUGUUUGGCCAAGGAGAAAGGUAGAAGACACCAUGUUAGCCAUGGAGAAAGAGCAGUCGGCAGAUCUAAACCAACCCUAUUAAACUGGUUUGAACACUGCGGUUGUUCAGGUCCACGAGGCUCUGAGAAGCAAAACAAGAACAGGACAAGAUGUCCUUGUGACGCUGUCAAGAUUUCACCAUCAGAACAUUCCCAUCACCGUCACGAUGGCAGGAUAAAGCGGUAUUUGCAUCAUAAGAAACAGCAGUGCCAGAUGUUCCAAAAUUAUUGCCAUCUGAAGCGGCUCCAAAUCCCCCUGUAAUUUUCUCUGCCUCCAGAAUUCUGGGGCGCAUCAGGAGUUUUGUAUUUUUUUAAUAAAUACAUAUAUGCAUGUGUG
rnacentral:lncRNA from 1 species